AAAGGGACACUAUAGUCACCUGAACAACUUUAGCUUAAUGAAGCAGUUUUGGUGUAUAGAACAUGCCCCUGCAGCCUCACUGCUCAAUCCUCUGCCAUUUAGGAGUUAGAUCCCUUUGUUUAUGAACCCUAGUCACACCUCCCUGCAUGUGACUUGCACAGCCUUCCAUAAACACUUCCUGUAAAAAGAGCCCUAUUUAGGCUUUCUUUAUUGCAAGUUCUGUUUAAUUAAGAUUUUCUUAUCCCCUGCUAUGUUAAUAGCUUGCUAGACCCUGCAAGAGCCUCCUGUAUGUGAUUAAAGUUCAAUUUAGAGAUUGAGAUACAAUUAUUUAAGGUAAAUUACAUCUGUUUGAAAGUGAAACCAGU